GCCUGGAUGGCGGAAUUGGUAGACGCUCAAGACUUAAAAUCUUGUGUCCGUAAGGACGUGCCGGUUCGAUCCCGGCUCCAGGUACCA
rnacentral:tRNA from 1 species